CAUAGCUCUCUCAUUGACUAAUACUCUGACUUGGGGAGCACAUCCAAGGUCCCCACCACUCCUUCAUAAAUCUGUGAUCUACAGGAGAGGAAGGGCCUUGUACUCCAAAAUGAACAAACAUGGAAAGACUGAAAGGUAAAAAUGGACAAUCUUCACUUAAAGCCAAAAGAGGCAGCCAUCUGAAGACAAGAGGAGUGAAUGUUUUUAUUCUGAGGAACCAGUGGGGUAGGUCAUUUAAGAUUAGGACAGGGACCCUGAAGGUCAAUUAAAAAGUAAAC
ensembl:lncRNA